rnacentral:rRNA from 1 species
CGAAAGGCGUAGUCGAUGGGAAACAGGUUAAUAUUCCUGUACUUGGUGUUACUGCGAAGGGGGGACGGAGAAGGCUAUGUUAGCCGGGCGACGGUUGUCCCGGUUUAAGCAUGUAGGCUGGUUGUCCAGGCAAAUCCGGAUAAUCAAGGCUGAGGUGUGAUGACGAGGCACUACGGUGCUGAAGUAACAAAUGCCCUGCUUCCAGGAAAAGCCUCUAAGCAUCAGGUAACAUCAAAUCGUACCCCAAACCGACACAGGUGGUCAGGUAGAGAAUACCAAGGCGCUUGAGAGAACUCGGGUGAAGGAACUAGGCAAAAUGGUGCCGUAACUUCGGGAGAAGGCACGCUGGUGUGUAGGUGAAGUCCCUGCGGAUGGAGCUGAGACCAGUCGAAGAUACCAGCUGGCUGCAACUGUUUAUUAAAAACACAGCACUGUGCAAACACGAAAGUGGACGUAUACGGUGUGACGCCUGCCCGGUGCCGGAAGGUUAAUUGAUGGGGUUAUCCGUAAGGAGAAGCUCUUGAUCGAAGCCCCGGUAAACGGCGGCCGUAACUAUAACGGUCCUAAGGUAGCGAAAUUCCUUGUCGGGUAAGUUCCGACCUGCACGAAUGGCGUAAUGAUGGCCAGGCUGUCUCCACCCGAGACUCAGUGAAAUUGAACUCGCUGUGAAGAUGCAGUGUACCCGCGGCAAGACGGAAAGACCCCGUGAACCUUUACUAUAGCUUGACACUGAACAUUGAGCCUUGAUGUGUAGGAUAGGUGGGAGGCUUUGAAGCGUGGACGCCAGUCUGCGUGGAGCCAACCUUGAAAUACCACCCUUUAAUGUUUGAUGUUCUAACGUUGGCCCCUUACCGGGGUUGCGGACAGUGUCUGGUGGGUAGUUUGACUGGGGCGGUCUCCUCCCAAAGCGUAACGGAGGAGCACGAAGGUUAGCUAAUCCUGGUCGGACAUCAGGAGGUUAGUGCAAUGGCAUAAGCUAGCUUGACUGCGAGCGUGACGGCGCGAGCAGGUGCGAAAGCAGGUCAUAGUGAUCCGGUGGUUCUGAAUGGAAGGGCCAUCGCUCAACGGAUAAAAGGUACUCCGGGGAUAACAGGCUGAUACCGCCCAAGAGUUCAUAUCGACGGCGGUGUUUGGCACCUCGAUGUCGGCUCAUCACAUCCUGGGGCUGAAGUAGGUCCCAAGGGUAUGGCUGUUCGCCAUUUAAAGUGGUACGCGAGCUGGGUUUAGAACGUCGUGAGACAGUUCGGUCCCUAUCUGCCGUGGGCGCUGGAGAAUUGAGGGGGGCUGCUCCUAGUACGAGAGGACCGGAGUGGACGCAUCACUGGUGUUCGGGUUGUCAUGCCAAUGGCACUGCCCGGUAGCUAAAUGCGGAAGAGAUAAGUGCUGAAAGCAUCUAAGCACGAAACUUGCCCCGAGAUGAGUUCUCCCUGAGACUUUAAGUCUCCUGAAGGAACGUUAAAGACGAUGACGUUGAUAGGCCGGGUGUGUAAGCGCAGCGAUGCGUUGAGCUAACCGGUACUAAUGAACCGUGAGGCUUAACCUU